rnacentral:rRNA from 1 species
AUGGAUGAGGACCUUCAUUACGCAGGAGAUCUAUUUUGUGAUUUUAAAAAUUUAUCAAGCACAUUACUUAGGAAGGACAUUGGAUUCAAGACAACAGUAUCCCACAGUGACGCUUUAUUGAUCCUCAAUCACUGGAUAGCAUCACAAGCUAAUUUUAGUGCAAGAAUGGACCAGAUGUGCAAAUUCUACACCUUCAUGUCAGAAGGUGCCGCUAGUGGAGAUAUCAACAUUAAACGCGAUUUCCUACCACUCUGCUCUAUAUUUACACCACUGCAUGGUUCACCAUCAACUGAUUCUGUAACCGGGAGAUUUAUGUCUUCAAAUGAUUUGUAUUGGCAUGACCCAACAGGCUGUUGUGAAAAGAUAUAUGCAUCCAUUUUAAUGAAGGGGAAUAUGUUUCCGAGAAAGAUGUUAUCUGUGGCUUAUCCAAGCCUCCAUGAAUUCUUUACUGAGACAUGUGGUGUACCAAAGAUACCAACGACAUCUGAGUACCUUGAGAUACUGCUCCGGCUAUCAAGUGUUGCAUUGCCUUCACAAGUAGCCAAUCAUGUGUUUCGUGUAUUUGUGAGAUGGGCUAAUGAUCUCCAUUCUGGAAGUUAUAAGAUGGACGAUAUCUUGUUCUUGAAAGAAUCUCUUCAGAAGUUGGAAACAACAGUAUUGCCAACCCUGGGUUGCAGAUGGGUGUCCCUCCAUCCAUCUUUUGGUCUUGUUUGCUGGGCAGAUGACGAUGAGCUGAAGCAGCAAUUUCAGAACACUCGUGAGGUCGAAUUUAUACAAUUUGGUGAACUUUCUCUUGAUGACAAACAAAAACUCGAUGGGAGGGUUGCUGCAUUGAUGAACAUUAUAGGUAUUCCGGCACUUUCUAAGGUUGUGUAUCGCGAACCAAUGCAUUCUGGUACAGGGAACAACAGAGGAAAGGCUAGUUUACUUAAUUGGCUUUUACCAUAUAUGCAACGUUACAUCUACAAGAUGCAUGGAGAUACUUACAAUAAAUUUCAGCAAAAUGAGGCCACGAAGCUUAGCAGUCUUGAAGUUAUUGUUGUUGAGAAGUUAUCCUACAAGUAUAUGCUGAAAGGACGUGAUAGUUCUUGUGAGGGAAGAUUUGAAUGCUCUUGUCUUUUACAGGGAAAUAUUUUAUAUGCUACUCAAGAAGCUGAUUCACAUUCGAUUCUUCUGGAAAUUUCUAAACUUUUCUUUGAUGGAUCUGUUGAUCUACACUUCGCAAAUUUUCUUCACAUGGUCAAAACCAUGUCAGAAUCUGGCUCCGCAGUGGAACAAAUUGAGUUUUUUAUUGUCAAUAAUCAGAAGGUGCCUCUGUUGCCUGAACAGGAACCUGCUUGGUCCUUUUCUUCAUCGUUUGUCGUCGAGGAAAUAUUUAGUUCCCCAACAGCUGAACUCCAACCUCCGGAUGAACCCAGACGCCCCCUCAAGCGUAAGAAGAACCCAGGAAUCAUUGAAUGCCACCCUCCGAAUAAUCCUGAAACAGCACCUGAUCUUGAAACCUCUUACAUAAGCCAGCAAGACAUAAAGGUGAAUGAUAUUGCAUCUUCAUCAGAGCUUAGCAAGCCUGUCGUGUGUGGACCCAUGGAAGAUACUUCGGUUCCCAUCAAGGUUGAAGGGGAUCAUGUCGUGAAAGAGAAUUCAACAACAGAACAUAUGCUAGGCGUACAGAGUACAAUGGAAGUUGAUGAUGAGCCUGCUUGUUUGGACUUGGAAGCAGGAAGCUCACCAAGUCUGAUUGAUGAAACUGAGCUAACCGACAUUGAUGAGAAACUUGCUGAUGUUGCAGAAGAUGGAAGCGAGCUAGGAGCUGGCACACCUGGUAAAGCCACAGUUCAAAAGCCAGAUGAGCGGUCAAGAACCGGCAGGCUUGGUGAAGCUGCGGUACACCAAUACCUUGCCGGGCAGCUGGGACCUAGCAAUGUCAAGUGGGUGAACGAAGAGAAGGAAUCGGGGCUUCCCUAUGACAUUGUCAUCACUCCCGAGGGUGGCGCCGCAGAGUAUGUGGAGGUGAAGGCGACCGUGACUUCAAACUAG